AGUGUUUUAAGAAAUUUAUGUUACCAGGCAAAUAAGAGGAUUGCAUAUCAUGUCUAUAAUCUUGGAAGAGAGAGUUGUGUGCAUCCACUGCAAGGGCAAUCCAACAAACACGUUUUAUACACUGACCCACCUCACUCUAGUAGGAAAGGUUCUUCAUUUGCCAGGCAGAAAUUGUAAGACGAAUCGGAAGUAAAAACAGGUCAUAUUCAAAAUACCAGAGUUACAAAGGACGUAGGUGUAUCAUGACCACUGAGAAAUAAAAUGCAUAUUUUUACUUAUUAUUUAUUU